rnacentral:rRNA from 1 species
UGGGGAAUUUUGCACAAUGGGGGAAACCCUGAUGCAGCGACGCCGCGUGAUUUAGAAGGCCUUCGGGUUGUAAAAAUCUUUUCUAUGGGAAGAAAAUGACAGUACCAUAGGAAUAAGGACCGGCUAAUUACGUCCCAGCAGCCGCGGUAAUACGUAAGGUCCGAGCGUUGUCCGGAAUCAUUGGGCGUAAAGGGUACGUAGGCGGGUAAGCAAGUUAGAAGUGAAAUCCUAUAGCUCAACUAUAGUAAGCUUUUAAAACUGCUCAUCUUGAGGUAUGGAAGGGAAAGUGGAAUUCCUAGUGUAGCGGUGAAAUGCGCAGAUAUUAGGAGGAAUACCGGUGGCGAAGGCGACUUUCUGGCCAUAACCUGACGCUGAGGUACGAAAGCGUGGGUAGCAAACAGG